GUAGGUGGCAAGCGUUGUCCGGAAUUAUUGGGCGUAAAGCGCGCGCAGGCGGUUCUUUAAGUCUGAUGUGAAAGCCCACGGCUCAACCGUGGAGGGUCAUUGGAAACUGGAGAACUUGAGUACAGAAGAGGAAAGCGGAAUUCCACGUGUAGCGGUGAAAUGCGUAGAGAUGUGGAGGAACACCAGUGGCGAAGGCGGCUUUCUGGUCUGUAACUGACGCUGAGGCGCGAAAGCGUGGGGAGCAAACAGGGAUUAGAUACCCUGGUAGUCCACGCCGUAAACGAUGAGUGCUAAGUGUUAGGGGGUUUCCGCCCCUUAGUGCCUGCAGCUAACGCAUUAAGCACUCCGCCUGGGGAUACGGCCGCAAGGCUG
rnacentral:rRNA from 1 species